UUAGAUUUAUAUUUAUAUUUACUAAUCUCAUUUUUUAUAUCUAUUUAUUUUUAGAAAUAUUGGUCGAGCUGUUGAUGUGUUCUAAGUACGAUUUUAUGGAUUCCCAAUGAUCCACGAACCACAAUUUGGGAAACUACUCUAUACUGAAGCUAGCAACUCAAUGUUGGUUAUACAGGAUACAAACUAUUGUCUAUGGAUUAAAGAGAGAAAACAGAUUAGAGAGUGCUGAAAUCAAAAUACAUUCAGGUAUUGACAUUUGUUAUAUUUUGGUUGAUUUAUUCACAAAAAGAUAUCUUCCUUUGAGAUGACCAAUUGCUAGUGGAGAAAUGUGGCUAAAUGUGGCCAUACCUUGUACCUAUUAGUUAUAUUUAAUAAUCAAUUGUAUUUACUCCCUUAGUGGCUUAGUUAAUUGAAAGAAGUUGCCAAAUUCCUAUGAUUUUCAUCUAUAAAUAUUACAUCAUAUAAUUAACAAAGAAGAAAUUAUUGAAUUAAUAAGUUUAAUCAUUAAUAGUGACAUAUUAAUUAUAAUUCAACAAUUAAAAAUUUUAGCUGUCUAUAAUUACAAAAGAAUAUUGUGAUUUAUAUUGAUUAUUAGGAUUUUUAUGAAGUUUUCUUAAUUCACUUAAAAUAUUUCCGAUAUUAUUAUUAUUAAAUUAUUCAUGCAACAUUUUAAGCUUGGAACAAAAAUGCAGUACAGUAUGUAUCUUAAAAUAUCUAUCUUUUUAAAGCACUAGCUUAUGGUGAAGAUAAAAAGUUACAGCAGCAGAGAAUGAUAAGAAAAUUACAUCAAAUAAAUUAUUUAAUUGUUUUUUAAUUUGAUUGAUAAUUGUACUUAAUAUGUCAUAUUCUGUGAACUUUUUAUGUUACAAAAUAAAUAUUUUU